rnacentral:lncRNA from 1 species
CGCAGUUGUAAGAUUAUGAGAGGAUAACAACUUAACUAUCAGUCUCUUUCUCACAUAAAGCUGUGUAGGCUUAGUUUUAUUUAACUAUAAAACAUAUCUGCACUAAAAUACGAACUUUAAGGAGCAUGUAUAUUAAGUAGGCUACUUCAUCAUGUUUGGCAGUCGCCUGCCGUGGCUUUAUUAGGCGUGAGGGAGGAGAACGGGACGCUCGCCGGGACUCUGUGAUUGUUUAUCGGGCGUCAGCAGCACCCGUAUGUCAGGCACAUCCUACACUGAUUGAAAUGUCGUCAAACUGUUACUCCGGUGCUAUCUUCAUCUGGCCCUUGUUUGUCCUGUAAGCUGAAGGGUCACUCCUCCUGGCCCACCUGACAGGAGUCUAGUGUCACUGAAUGGGUAAACCCCUGCAGUUUUGCAUUCCAGUCAUAGUUCUGAAUGUAUGUUUGCCACCUUUCUCUUGGAAAAUGAGCUUCAGCAUGUCUGUUCCUGCCAGUGAUGAUGGUGGCAUGUCUCGCCAUCUGAUUGCAUGUGACGAUAUAAUAUGUAAAUAUGGUAGAUGUGUGCUGGUGAACGGGGAGCCCACCUGUGAGUGUAAGCUGGGCUACAUUGGAGACACCUGUAACGAAACAAUCAAUGACGCUCUGUCUGUACCGCGCACCCUCGGCGUCCUGGCUUUCAUCAUUGGCUUUAUCAUCCUGCUCUUUGGGCUGGCAUUUUUCCGGCAAAGACAUAAGGCAAAGAAGAGAAAAAAGGCAGCUGAAGAAGCCAUGUUAAGAAAUGGCUAAACAUAUUUAACAUGUUUUAAUGCAGCGUGCCAUAAAAUAGGUUUGUCAUUCUACAUCACUGACUCAAAUGAGCUCUAUUAUGGUCACAAUAAGAUACAGUAACUCACUCUGUUUCUCUCUCUCUCUUUGUUUCCCUCUUCAAACAGUACCAUCAACAUAUGAAGCACUUCCACUCCAAUUAAAAAAACUUUCCACCAUGACACUUAACUCACACUUCAAUGUGCAUGAACAUAUAUUCAUCUUAUGUAAUUGGGGUAUUGAAGUAGCUCUAACUGAAUUCAACAUUUAACUGAAAACUAUUGUGAAAUACAUGAAGUCCACAACACAUUUUAAUCUGGAAUCCAGAGCAUGAUUUGGGUUGGCGUACCUGCAGGGG